rnacentral:rRNA from 1 species
CCUACGGGAGGCAGCAGUGAGGAAUAUUGGUCAAUGGACGAGAGUCUGAACCAGCCAAGUAGCGUGAAGGAUGACUGCCCUAUGGGUUGUAAACUUCUUUUAUAUGGGAAUAAAAUGUUCCACGUGUGGGAUUUUGUAUGUACCAUAUGAAUAAGGAUCGGCUAACUCCGUGCCAGCAGCCGCGGUAAUACGGAGGAUCCGAGCGUUAUCCGGAUUUAUUGGGUUCAAAGGGAGCGUAGGUGGAUUGUUAAGUCAGUUGUGAAAGUUUGCGGCUCAACCGUAAAAUUGCAGUUGAAACUGGCAGUCUUGAGUACAGUAGAGGUGGGCGGAAUUCGUGGUGUAGCGGUGAAAUGCUUAGAUAUCACGAAGAACUCCGAUUGCGAAGGCAGUUCACUGGACUGCAACUGACACUGAGGCUCGAAAGUGUGGGUAUCAAACAGGAUUAGAUACCCCAGUAGUC